UCAUGAUUUCAAUUGCAGCAUUCACAUUCAUAUUCUUCUCACCAGUCUCUGGCUUGGUAUUCUUCCCAUAUCUCCUAACAAGAUAUAGGAGAUACUUAAGGAUUCCUUCCUUUUUAGAAUCAGUGCCAUUGAUCUUGGGAAUGGCAAAAGAUUUGGUCAUCCGGAACUGCUAUUUCUGCAGAUGGUUCAGCUCAUAUACUACCAUUUGAUAUAACAAACUAACCUCAUUAGCUAACAAUGGUUCAACCAUGUUCUGGAUCAGGAACAAGCUCCGCCUCAGUGAGUUCCUUAUCCUUUCGCACCGCAUUGCAGUUGCUUCACUAGUGAUAGCCUGAAAUAACAUAUUCAAAUAUUACAAGAGCAUUUUUACAAUCCUUCGAAGGUACCAAAAUUUGUAGUAACGAAUAUGCAUGGCUCCUCUUCGAGGAUUAUAAAAUAGCUCGUUUUAGUAAGCAACA